rnacentral:rRNA from 1 species
GGGGAUAGCCUUUGGAAACGAAGAAUAAUACCCUAUAAAACCAUAAAAGCACAUGCUAGAAUGGUCAAAGUGAUAGCGGUGUAAGAUGGACUUGCGUCUGAUUAGCUAGUUGGUGAGAUAAAAGCUCACCAAGGCAACGAUCAGUAGCCGGCUUGAGAGAGUGUACGGCCACAUUGGGACUGAGACACGGCCCGG